rnacentral:rRNA from 1 species
UACGAAGGGGGCUAGCGUUGCUCGGAAUUACUGGGCGUAGAGGGCGCGUAGGCGGACAGUUAAGUUGGGGGUGAAAGCCCGGGGCUCAACCUCGGAAUUGCCUUCAAUACUGGCUGUCUUGAGUGUGAGAGAGGUGUGUGGAACUCCGAGUGUAGAGGUGAAAUUCGUAGAUAUUCGGAAGAACACCAGUGGCGAAGGCGACACACUGGCUCACUACUGACGCUGAGGCGCGAAAGCGUGGGGAGCAAACAGG